GUGGGGAAUAUUGGACAAUGGGCGCAAGCCUGAUCCAGCCAUGCCGCGUGAGUGAUGAAGGCCUUAGGGUUGUAAAGCUCUUUCACCGAUGAAGAUAAUGACGGUAGUCGGAGAAGAAGCCCCGGCUAACUUCGUGCCAGCAGCCGCGGUAAUACGAAGGGGGCUAGCGUUGUUCGGAAUUACUGGGCGUAAAGCGCACGUAGGCUGAUAUUUAAGUCAGGGGUGAAAUCCCGGGGCUCAACCCCGGAACUGCCUUUGAUACUGGGUAUCUUGAGUAUGGAAGAGGUCAGUGGAAUUGCGAGUGUAGAGGUGAAAUUCGUAGAUAUUCGCAGGAACACCAGUGGCGAAGGCGGCUGACUGGUCCAUUACUGACGCUGAGGUGCGAAAGCGUGGGGAGCAAACAGGAUUAGAAACCCGUGUAGUCC
rnacentral:rRNA from 1 species